GAUGAACGCUGGCGGCGUGCCUAAUACAUGCAAGUCGAGCGAAUGGAUUAAGAGCUUGCUCUUAUGAAGUUAGCGGCGGACGGGUGAGUAACACGUGGGUAACCUGCCCAUAAGACUGGGAUAACUCCGGGAAACCGGGGCUAAUACCGGAUAACAUUUUGAACCGCAUGGUUCGAAAUUGAAAGGCGGCUUCGGCUGUCACUUAUGGAUGGACCCGCGUCGCAUUAGCUAGUUGGUGAGGUAACGGCUCACCAAGGCAACGAUGCGUAGCCGACCUGAGAGGGUGAUCGGCCACACUGGGACUGAGACACGGCCAGACUCCUACGGGAGGCAGCAGUAGGGAAUCUUCCGCAAUGGACGAAAGUCUGACGGAGCAACGCCGCGUGGGUGAUGAAGGCUUUCGGGUCGUAAAACUCUGUUGUUAGGGAAGAACAAGUGCUAGUUGAAUAAGCUGGCACCUUGACGGUACCUAACCAGAAAGCCACGGCUAACUACGUGCCAGCCGCCGCAGAAA
rnacentral:rRNA from 1 species